rnacentral:rRNA from 1 species
AACGAACGCUGGCGGCAUGCCUAACACAUGCAAGUCGAACGAGACCUUCGGGUCUAGUGGCGCACGGGUGCGUAACGCGUGGGAAUCUACCCUUGGGUUCGGAAUAACUCAGAGAAAUUUGAGCUAAUACCGGAUGAUGCCGCAAGACCAAAGAUUUAUCGCCCAAGGAUGAGCCCGCGUAGGAUUAGCUUGUUGGUGAGGUAAAAGCUCACCAAGGCGACGAUCCUUAGCUGGUCUGAGAGGAUGAUCAGCCACACUGGGACUGAGACACGGCCCAGACUCCUACGGGAGGCAGCAGUGGGGAAUAUUGGACAAUGGGCGAAAGCCUGAUCCAGCAAUGCCGCGUGAGUGAUGAAGGCCUUAGGGUUGUAAAGCUCUUUUACCCGGGAUGAUAAUGACAGUACCGGGAGAAUAAGCCCCGGCUAACUCCGUGCCAGCAGCCGCGGUAAU